rnacentral:rRNA from 1 species
UACAGAGGUCCCAAGCGUUGUUCGGAUUCACUGGGCGUAAAGGGUGCGUAGGUGGUGAGGUAAGUCGGAUGUGAAAGCUCGGAGCUCAACUCCGAAAUGGCAUUGGAAACUACCUUGCUAGAGGGUGGAGGGGGACGUGGAAUGACUUGGUGUAGCAGUGAAAUGCGUAGAUAUCAAGUGGAACACCAGUGGCGAAAGGCGAGUCCCUGGACAAGCUCCUGACCACUGAGGCACGAAAGCUAGGGGAGCAAACAGG